rnacentral:rRNA from 1 species
ACCCCCGUUGAAAAGUUGGCGGAUGAGUUGUGGCUAGGGGAGAAAUUCCAAUCGAACACGGAUAUAGCUGGUUCUCCCCGAAAUAGCUUUAGGGCUAGCGUCGAGGCAGAGUCGCAUGGAGGUAGAGCACUGAAUGUACGAUGGCCCCAUCCCGGGGUACUGAGUAUAAUCAAACUCCGAAUGCCAUGCAGACAUACUCGGCAGUCAGACUGUGGGUGAUAAGGUCCAUGGUCAAAAGGGAAACAGCCCAGACCGCCAGUUAAGGUCCCAAAAUGUAUGCUAAGUGGAAAAGGAUGUGGGGAUGCACAGACAACUAGGAGGUUGGCUCAGAAGCAGCCACCCUUGAAAGAGUGCGUAACAGCUCACUGGUCUAGUGGUUCCGCGCCGACAAUGUAGCGGGGCUCAAGCACACCACCGAAGACGCGGCAGUAUUUUGUACUGGGUAGGAGAGCGUCCCAUGAGGGGCGAAGCGGCCGUGUGAACGCGCCGUGGACUUCAUGGGAGUGAGAAUGCAGACAUGAGUAGCGAGAGACGGGUGAAGAUCCCGUCCGCUGGAUGACCAAGGGUUCCAGGGCCACGUUCAUCGUCCCUGGGUGAGUCGGGUCCUAAGGCGAGGCCGACAGGCGUAGUCGAAUGGAUGAACGGGUCGAUAUUCCCGUACCGGCUUUCAGCCGCCAAAACCGAGGCUUGGAGUACUAACCUCCGGGUCCGGGCUUACUGCUCCUUCGGGGGCGGGAUGCCCUGGCCUGUUGGGACCGAUCCUUGUAGUAGGUCAGCGCAGGAGUGACGCAGAAGGGUAGCCGGCCGCGGAGGUGGUCUUCCGUGGUCAAGCACGCAGGGCGUGGGACAGGCAAAUCCGUCCCGCAUGGGUCCGAGGUGCGAUGAUGGGGGCCUUAUGGCCCGAUAUCCGGUGAUCCCGGCUGCCGAGAAAAGCUUCGGCGUCAGGCUCGAAGCCGCCCGUACCCCAAACCGACACUGGUGGUCAGGUAGAGAAUACCAAAGCGAUCGAGCGAAUCCUGGUCAAGGAACUCGGCAAAUCACUCCCGUUCCUUCGGUUUAAGGGAGACCCCCGAUGGUGAACACGCUUGCUGUGGGAGCUUUUGGGGGUGGCACAGACCAGGGGGUAGCGACUGUUUACCAAAAACACAGGUGCAUGCGAAGGCGCAAGCCGCUGUAUAUGCACUGACGCCUGCCCGGUGCCGGAAGGUUAAGAGGAUCCGUCAGCCUUCGGGUGAAGCGGUGAAUUCAAGCCCCGGUAAACGGCGGUGGUAACUAUAACCAUCCUAAGGUAGCGAAAUUCCUUGUCGGGUAAGUUCCGACCUGCACGAAUGGCGUAACGACUUCCCCACUGUCUCGACCAGGAGCUCGGCGAAAUUGCAGUACGAGUAAAGAUGCUCGUUAAGCGCAGAAGGACGAAAAGACCCCGGGACCUUUACUAUACCUUGGUAUUGGCAUUCGGUGUGGAUUGUGUAGCAUAGGCGGGAGGCCGAGAGGCGCGGUCGCCAGAUCGCGCGGAGCCGUAAGGUGAAAUACCGCUCUGUUCGCAUUGGAUGUCUAACCUCGAACAGUCAUCCUGUUCAGGGACAGUGCCUGGCGGGUAGUUUAACUGGGGCGGUUGCCUCCCAAAGAGUAACGGAGGCGCCCAAAGGUCCGCUCAGCCCGGUUGGCAAUCGGGUGGCGAGUGCAAGUGCACAAGCGGGCUUGACUGCGAGGACGACGGUCCGAGCAGGGACGAAAGUCGGGACUAGUGAUCCGGUGCCGGUGUACGGACGCGGCAUCGCUCAACGGAUAAAAGGUACUCCGGGGAUAACAGGCUGAUCAUUCCCAAGAGUCCAUAUCGACGGGAUGGUUUGGCACCUCGAUGUCGGCUCGUCGCAUCCUGGGGCUGGAGCAGGUCCCAAGGGUUCGGCUGUUCGCCGAUUAAAGCGGCACGCGAGCUGGGUUCAGAACGUCGUGAGACAGUUUGGUCUCUAUCCUCUGCGCUCGUUGGAAUGCUGAGGAGGCCUGCCCAUAGUACGAGAGGACCUGGGUGGACGAACCUCUGGUAUGCCGGUUGUCACGCCAGUGGCACGGCCGGUUGGCUACGUUCGGAAGGGAUAACCGCUGAAAGCAUCUAAGCGGGAAGCCUGCUCCAAGAUAAGCAUUCCGUGGAACCUUCGAGUUCCUGUAGUCCCCAUGCAGAACACGUGGUCGAUAGGCCGGACGUGGAAGCCCCGCGAGGGGUGGAGCCGACCGGUACUAACGGACGAAAGGCAACACUAA